CGGGUGCUUUUACAGAUCUGCUCGCAUUUCGCCUCCGAAAACCAACCAAAACUUCGUUUCUUUAACAUUCUCUCUCCCUGCCUCUCUCUCUCUCUCUCUCUCUUCCUCACGGUCCUAAGCUAAUAAGCUUAAGAAUACCGAGUCCAUUUAAGCUUUAUGUGCGGCUGAAACUCAAAAUUUAAGUUGGGGGUGAGGGUGCCUCAGGGGCAUCACCUGUAGCCCAAUGGGGACAUGAUGCUUGGAGGAUGUAUCAGUAUUAUCUGGAUAAGAGGACACCUCAUGCAAUCAAUAGGUGGAUUGGGAGUCUUGUUAUAGUGGCUAUAUACUGUUUGCGAGUCUAUUUUGUUCAGGGGUUUUACAUUGUUUCCUAUGGGCUUGGAAUAUAUCUGCUGAAUUUGCUUAUUGGGUUUUUGUCACCUUUGGUUGAUCCUGAACUUGAACCUUCGGAUGGGCCUUUGUUGCCCACGAAGGGUUCUGAUGAAUUCAAGCCAUUUAUUCGCCGCCUUCCAGAGUUCAAAUUCUGGUAUUCCUU
rnacentral:misc_RNA from 1 species